GAGUUCUGCUCGCUCCAUCAAGAAGGAAGAAACCACGCUGGACAACCUGCUUGCAUUGGUCAUCAUGCUUGGCAUUCAGGCUCACACAGUUGUGGACGCGCACGCGUCAGUAACAACCUGUCGCCACUGAAACGAAUCAAUCUGCUUCUUUCCUGUAACCCUUGCCGGCGUGCACAACUAAGAAAUACAGUUGGAUUCAAAGGACGUGAUCUGUGCCUACCGAGAAGACAUGUUUAUGAACCGUUUGCUGAUGUCCUAUUCUGUAAUAGGAUGAUUUGUGCAGAUUAAGAAAGCGUUCCUAUAUGGCAUCUCUUUGCCUAAUAGACACUGCUAUAGUCAAAACAAUUGUUGCCUAACCAAAUUUCACCGGUGAAGGCAGUACCUGGAAGUAUUCUGGCAGCUGUGAAUCGAGUGCGAGGUCUUCCUUAGGUUGUUCUCUGUAGGGCCUUAUCUUCGUGUAUGGUUCCUAUUACGAGCUUAACUCGCUGGCACCAGCUGAAGAGCUUAUCCGUCCAAGAGACCAGGAGUGGAUGCGUUUUGGGAUCAUCCUGGUUGUGUAUUCUGAUCGGUUGAAUAUGGACGUGGUAUGGAUGGAUGAAGGCAUAGAACAGGCGCAUCCCAGCCUUCUCUUACCCAAAUCUGUGAGGCAAGCAUCCUUCCAUCGUUUUAUGGAUUGAAGAAGGCGCACAAUGAGAUCGGUCCACCCUUCUCUUACCCGGAUCAGCCAAGGGAGCAUCCUUCCAUGACAACGGCCAAAUCAUGUACCGAUGGCUUCGCGACGGGCGUCGUGUACGUCUAGCUCAACACAUUCGCCUCAGGGGUUAUCGUGAUGGAGCUGAGAAGCGGCUGAGCCUCACUCUCCAAAGAUACAAGAGAUGUGGUGAACUGCGUAAUGUAUUAUUCAUAGCUCAUGAUUAUACUGUUUGGGGUCUGCUUGAUUAUGCACCGUUGGCCUGUUGUUAAACUUUUUUACUCGACUUAUGGCCUUUCUGAAGUUUUUUUAAA